UUUGAUUUGCAAUUAAGAUAGAUGAAUUUUUAGAAGCUCAAUCUCCUUUUUAUUUUGGAUAACUAUCUAAAUCGGGAUUCAACUAUUAUAUAUUCCUAAGUUGUUGCAACAAUUAAGGGGGAAAGCAAUUGCACAGAGAGAAUUCACACAAAAGAGAGUGAAAAUAGAAAAAAAAAAGAUGGGUGAGAGUUUGGCCAGAAGAGGGUACUAAUUUGGAGUAUUUUUUAUUUGUUUUUCCGGGUUUGAAAGGUUUUAAGUGUGAUUUUGAGGACAAAUUGUAGAUAAUAGUGUUUGUGAGAUCAAAUCUGUCGAGGGGAGGAUUUGCUAAAUUUUUUUUUUAAAAAUCCAGAAAUUCUCCAAAUUCCAUUGAGUUUUUCAGUAAGUCUUUGGUAUUUUCGACAAAAUUUCAACGACAUUUUAAAGUUGUCGAUGAGAUUUUUCAAAAUCUAGUGCUAUAGUUCAUCGUUUCUGAGUUUGGGAAGAUUGAGGUUAGAGAAAAAUUAGCUCAGAGAGAGAAGGGAAAUAAAUGGUAAGGCAAAAACUUGGCUUUUAUAGAAGCCGAAACACACUCUUUUAUUAAAAGAGAAUCCAUGUGCUUCCGUUAGCCCAAUCCGACUAGAGUGCUCGCAACUCCCGACUCGUUUUAGCAUCCAGCAGUUCGAGCUGGGUUGAGCCACCGAGCCACACCACUUACUAAGCCGAACUGCUUCGGGAAGCAUUUAAGAGUACUAUCUCCAGUAGUCAGCAUCAAAACGCGUUCAUUAAAGCUGGUCCAGCCGAAUCGAGCCAAGUUGAAGCCAUUAAACUACUCCAAACAGGCCUCAAGUAGCGAUACCAUGUGCAAUAAUUAUAUGCCACCGAUUUUAUAUCUACCAGUCUCAUACAAAGAAUGAUUGGUAGGUAGAUGUUUUGUUACUCUAUUUUAAUGCUUAAUUGCAUCUUUCCACUACCAGAAAAAUGAUUUUUACUGAUAGAAUUUUUCAUUAGUAAAAGUCAAUAUUUUGUCGAUAAUACUUUUACCAAAUGAAUUAUCAAUGGAAAAUUUUGAUUAGUAGUAAGUAAGUUGAUAAUGCUAUUUCAUCAGUGAAAAUCAAAUUCUGUUGGUAAUUACCAAUGAAAUUUUUUCGUCUGUAAAAAUUUUAUAAGUAAAUUUCACAAGUAAU